GCUGGCGGCGUGCUUAACACAUGCAAGUCGAACGAUUAACCCUUCUUCGGAAGGUCAUAAAGUGGCGAACGGGUGAGUAACACGCGACCAACCUGCCUCUCACAUUGGGAUAACUUAGAGAAAUCUAAGCUAAUACCAAAUACUCUUGAUCUGCCGCAUGACAGACCAAGGAAAGCUUUCGCGGUGAGAGAUGGGGUCGCGGCCCAUUAGGUAGUUGGUGGGGUAGAGGCCUACCAAGCCGAUGAUGGGUAGCCGGGUUGAGAGACCGACCGGCCACAUUGGGACUGAGAUACGGCCCAGACUCCUACGGGAGGCAGCAGUGGGGAAUUUUGCGCAAUGGGCGAAAGCCUGACGCAGCAGCGCCGCGUGCGGGAUGACGGCCUUCGGGUUGUAAACCGCUUUCAGUGGGAAAGAUAAUGACGGUACCCACACAAGAAGCUCCGGCUAAAUACGUGCCAGCAGCCGCGGUAAUACGUAUGGAGCAAGCGUUAUCCGGAUUUAUUGGGCGUAAAGCGCGCGUAGGCGGCUUGUUAAGCAAGGUCUUAAAUCUUGGGGCUCAACCUCAAGCCGGAUCUUGAACUGGCAGGCUCGAGUAUGGUAGAGGAAAGUGGAAUUCCCAGUGUAGCGGUGGAAUGCGCAGAUAUUGGGAAGAACACCGAUGGCGAAGGCAGCUUUCUGGGCCAUUACUGACGCUGAGGUGCGAAAGCUAGGGGAGCAAACAGGAUUAGAUACCCUGGUAGUCCUAGCCGUAAACGAU
rnacentral:rRNA from 1 species